CCUACGGGAGGCAGCAGUGAGGAAUAUUGGUCAAUGGACGAGAGUCUGAACCAGCCAAGUAGCGUGAAGGAUGACUGCCCUAUGGGUUGUAAACUUCUUUUAUAAAGGAAUAAAACGAGGCACGUGUGCCUUUUUGCAUGUACUUUAUGAAUAAGGAUCGGCUAACUCCGUGCCAGCAGCCGCGGUAAUACGGAGGAUCCGAGCGUUAAACGGAUUUAUUGGGUUUAAAGGGAGCGUAGAUGGGUUGUUAAGUCAGUUGUGAAAGUUUGCGGCUCAACCGUAAAAUUGCAAUUGAUACUGGCAGUCGUGAGUACAGUUGAGGUAGGCGGAAUUCGUGGUGUAGCGGUGAAAUGCUUAGAUAUCACGAAGAACCCCGAUUGCGAAGGCAGCUUACUAAACUGUGACUGACAUUGAUGCUCGAAAGUGUGGGUAUCAAACAGGAUUAGAUACCCCAGUAGUC
rnacentral:rRNA from 1 species